rnacentral:rRNA from 1 species
UACGAAGGGUGCAAGCGUUGUUCGGAAUCACUGGGCGUAAAGCGCACGUAGGCGGAUGUGCCAGUCAGGGGUGAAAUCCCGGAGCUCAACUCCGGAACUGCCUCUGAUACAGCACGUCUUGAGUUCGAGAGAGGUGGGUGGAAUUCCUAGUGUAGAGGUGAAAUUCGUAGAUAUUCGGAAGAACACCAGUGGCGAAGGCGGCUCACUGGCCGUCGUACGUGACGCUGAGGUGCGAAAGCGUGGGGAGCAAACAGG